GUCUACAGCCAUACCACCCUGAACACGCCCAAUCUCAUCUGAUCUCGGAAGGUAAGCAGAGUCGGGCCUGGUUAGUACUUGUAUGGGAAAAUGACCCAUGUGGACU
rnacentral:rRNA from 1 species